GUUUUUCUCACCGGGAAGUAAGGUCUAUAUGAUCUCAGGAAAUUUAAAAUAUUUAUGAGAAUAAUGCUUAAAGAUCAUAUUUCAUCUUCUCAUGCUGUUAACUUUGGUGAAAGUAAUGCACGUCCUUUUAAUUUCCUUAACGUAUGCGCCACCGCAGUAUGUACUGUAUUACUAUGGACGAAGUGGACUAUCUGUCCUUACCAAAGUAAACGUUGAUUGCUUCAUCAUAUCCAAUGACCCAGAGCUGUCAACUGCAAAUAUUACGUCAUAGAACGACGCUUUUACAUCACGCUUCGUCCGACUGGCUCCCGGAAACUCGGGUGCUCUACGGAGUAUUCGUGUGGUGAAUUUGGUCAUGCUGAGUGCUUUAUGUAAGAAGCCUCCUCGAACCGGAGCGGCAGCGUCGACGCCCUCUAAAUAACUAGAAGGUGGCUGGAGUAACGAGGUUGAGUAUGACCAGAGUUUUUCUGCUAUUUUUAAGAGCCAAUUGGGAAAGUAUACUGAUACACCGAAAAGUGAAACGGUUAAAGGUCGUGUAAAACGAGCUGACAAUUUUUGGCGUGACACGAUUGAUGCUCCAGAAUUUGUUUUUAGAAUGAUUAAAAUGGGUUAUCGCUUGCCUUUCGGUAUGUACCCACCUCGUUGUUUUUUGAACAAUAGUUUGUCGUCUUUAAGAAACAAAGAUUUUGUUUCAAAAGCCAUUUAUGAGUUGCUUAGCAACCAAUGUAUAGUUGAAAAUGAUAAAGCACCGUAUUGCGUUAAUCCCUUAACCGUUGCGAAAGGGAAAAAACCUCGUCUAGUUAUCGAUCUGAGACAUGUUAAUGAGUACCUAGUGAAACAAAUAUUUAAGUAUGAAGAUUUACGCUCAUUAUCACAGGUCAUAGAAGAGGGAAAUUGGUUCUUUACAUGGGAUUUAAAAUCCGGUAAUCAUCAUGUUGAUAUAGAUGAAGAACAUCAGCAAUACCUAGGAUUUUCUUGGGUGUUCAGUGAUGGCACUCGUAGAUAUUUUACCUUUACCGUUUAGCCAUUUGGCAUGAGCUCUGCAUGUUUUUGUUUCAUCAAAUUUCUCCGUCCUUUGGUCAAAAGGUGGCGCUCUAUGGGACUAUUUACGGAAGAAGACAUCGGCCGGAGCUCAACCUACAGAGAGCUUAAGGCGGUCUUUCUUAUAUUGAGCAACCGCGCAAUAAGAAAGCUAAAGUAUUCACCGACAAUCAAGGCGCGGCCAGAAUUAUUUCUAUCGGUAGUCCUUCUCCAGAGCUUCACAGAUUGCAUUGAACAUUUUUGACAUUUGUCUCAAGAAUGGUAUUUCGUUAGAGGUUGAAUGGAUCCCUCGCGAGUACAACCAGCGUGCUGAUGUAUUAAGUCGAUUUGUUGACAAAGAUGACUGGUCCGUGAAUCAAUCGGUUUUCAGGCUUCUCGAUGCGAAAUGGGGUCCUCACACAAUUGAUCGAUUUGCAUCGGUCUAUAAUACCAAGCUAACAUGUUAUAAUUCCAGGUUCGCUUCACCCGGGAGUGCAGGCGUCGAUGCUUUUGCAUGACUGGACUUGCAAUAAAAACUGGCUCUGCCCACCUGUCAGCCUUAUCGUCCCGACUAUCAGAAAGCUUCAGAGUUGUAAGGGUCAGGGAACACUUAUAAUUCCUGAGUGGCCCUCUAGCCAUUUUUGGCCUUUCUUGCAUUCAUCAGCCUUGAAUUUCAAGUCUUACGUGACGAAAGUAUUUCUAUUACCUAGAAUAGAAGAUCUCUUAAUUGAAAGUCCGGGUCAGGCCGUCGCGUACAAGCACAAGGGCUCCGUUUUUUCGGGCUGUCCCUCUCUCAAUAUGAUCGCGCUUCGCUUAGAUUUGUCCAUUUAGCCACUCGUUUCAGGCCUAUCACCAGUUGGUGCAUGAAUUGAUCCCUAUUUUACAUCAUUUCAGUGUGAAUGUGGAACUAACACAAUCACCAUUUAGGUGUAAAUAAUGCGGGGUGUGCAAGAACCAUUUAGGUGUGCAAUAUGAGAGUACUAUAACCACUUACGUUAACAAUGCGUUGAAUGCGCAGGGACCUUUUUGGUUUUAGGUUGGUUUGGUUUUUGGUAUUUCAAUUAUUGUUUACUUACGCUGUUUGCGUAUCACCAUUUAGGUGUCUGUAUCACCAUUUGGGUGUCUGUAUCACCAUUUGGGUGUCUGUAUCACCAUUUGGGUGUCUGUAUCACCAUUUGGAUGUCUGUAUCACCAUUUGGGUGUCUGUAUCACCAUUUGGGUGUCUGUAUCACCAUUUGGGUGUCUGUAUCACCAUUUGGGUGUCUGUAUCACCAUUUGGGUGUCUGUAUCACCAUUUGGGUGUCUGUAUCACCAUUUGGGUGUCCCGGUAUCACCAGUUGGGUGUCUGUAUCACCAUUUGGGUGUCUGUAUCACCAUUUGGGUGUAAGGACGGACGCGUUAUAUUAAUGCGCCGCUACACGUGUUGUGAUUUUUUAAGUUUCUUUCAGAUAUUAUGGAAGGGUAUUCGAUAUUAGACAUGCCAAAGGACAUUGGUCUUCAGCAGUCGUUGCCCGGCCUCGUUGAUUUACUUCUCGGUGCCAAGGCUUACACGGUCGAAAUACAAUGUUCUCCAUGUAUUUGUGCGUAUUUGUGUUUAUUCCGAAGAUAAGGGUAGAAAUAAUUUUACA